rnacentral:rRNA from 1 species
UACGUAGGGGGCGAGCGUUGUCCGGAAUUACUGGGCGUAAAGGGUGCGUAGGCGGCGAUGCAAGUCCAUUGUGAAAAGCCCGGGCUUAACCUGGGAGGUGCAGUGGAAACUGUAUGGCUUGAGUGCAGGAGAGGGAAGUGGAAUUCCUAGUGUAGCGGUGAAAUGCGUAGAUAUUAGGAGGAACACCAGUGGCGAAGGCGACUUUCUGGACUGUAACUGACGCUGAGGCACGAAAGCGUGGGGAGCAAACAGGAUUAGAUACC